AGUUCUGCUGCCGCUCCAGCUCCAGCGCCUGAAUGGGGAAAUGGGAAAAUGGGAAAAUGGGAAAAUGGGAAAAUGGGAAAAUGGGAGUGACUGCUGCAAGUUCCGCUGCUGCUCCAACUCCAGCGCCUGGACGGGGGAAAACGGGAAAAAUGGGAAAAACGAGAAAAAUGGGGAAAUGGGAAAAACAGGAGCAGCUGCUGGAAGCUCUGCUGCCGCUCCACCUCCAGGGCCUGGACGGGGGAAAAAUGGGAAAAACGGGGGAAAUCCCCGUACCUGCUGGCACUGAUCCCAUUGAUCCCACAGAUCCCAUUGAUCCCACAGAUCCCAUAGAUCCCAUAGAUCCCAUGCCACCGUACCUGCUGGCACUGGCGGGCGCCGUCGCGCUGAUCCCAUUGAUCCCAUUGAUCCCAUUGAUCCCAGAUCCCAUUGAUCCCAUAGAUCCCGUGCCCCGUACCUGCUGGCACUGGCGGGCGCCGUCGCGCUCGCGCUGCAGCCGCCGCAGCUCGGCGGGGUCGGGCCGGUGCCCCCCGGGCACGCGGUAGCCCUCGGGCCGGGG
rnacentral:lncRNA from 1 species